UUAGGUUUCAUGUCCUUAGCAAGCUCCUGAGUUUCAUGGCACCUAUUGACCACACUACAAUGAAUGAUGAUGCCAGGACCGAGUUGUAUCGAUCUCUUUUUGGCCAGCUCAACCGUCCUGACAUAGAUCAUGGGGACUGACAUUACCAUCCUCUCACUCCUGACCCCAGUACAGGAGCCACCUGCUGCUUCCAGAAGAGGCUAGAAUGACUUCAGGAAGUGGCGUCUGGGGACCCCUACGAUGGUGGAGCUCAUGCCUUCUGCAUGAGAAAGCUCAGGCUCUGAGUCCUUCAGCCACCACAGGUAUAGUCAGAGCUGGAGCCAAGGCUCAGGUUAAGAGCACUCCCUGCUCUUACACAGCACCCGGGUCCAGAGACUCACAACAGCCUCUAAGUGCAGUCCCAAGGACUUCGAUGCCAUCUUCUGACCUCUGUAAUCGCCUCACUCAGGUGUGCGCACACACACCAGCAUACAAUUACAACCAAAAUAAAUUAAAAAAUCUGUUGUCACUGUCA